CCUACGGGUGGCAGCAGUGAGGAAUAUUGGUCAAUGGACGAGAGUCUGAACCAGCCAAGUAGCGUGAAGGAUGACUGCCCUAUGGGUUGUAAACUUCUUUUAUAUGGGAAUAAAAUGUUCCACGUGUGGGAUUUUGUAUGUACCAUAUGAAUAAGGAUCGGCUAACUCCGUGCCAGCAGCCGCAGUAAUACGGAGGAUCCGAGCGUUAUCCGUAUUUAUUGGGUUUAAAGGGAGCGUAGGUGGAUUGUUAAGUCAGUUGUGAAAGUUUGAGGCUCAACCGUAAAAUUGCAGUUGAAACUGGCAGUCUUGAGUACAGUAGAGGUGGGCGGAAUUCGGGGUGUAGCGGUGAAAUGCUUAGAUAUCACGAAGAACUCCGAUUGCGAAGGCAGUUCACUGGACUGCAACUGACACUGAGGCUCGAAAGUGUGGGUAUCAAACAGGAUUAGAUACCCUGGUAGUC
rnacentral:rRNA from 1 species